rnacentral:rRNA from 1 species
CCUACGGGAGGCAGCAGUGAGGAAUAUUGGUCAAUGGGCGAGAGCCUGAACCAGCCAAGUCGCGUGAGGGAGUACUGCCCUAUGGGUUGUAAACCUCUUUUGUCGGGGAGAAAAAGCCGGAGGUGUCAGGCUGUGCGAGUACCCGAAGAAAAAGAAUCGGCGAACUCCGUGCCAGCACCCGCGGUAAUAGGGAGGAUGCGGGCGUUAUCCGGAUUUAUUGGGUUUAAAGGGUGCGCAGGCGGAUUUUUAAGUUAGCGGUAAAUUCGAGGGGCUCAACCCCAUCCAGCCGUUGAAACUGGGGAGCUUGAGUGUGCGAGAGGGAUGCAGAAUGCGUGGUGUAGCGGUGAAAUGCAUAGAGAUCACGCAGAACCCCGAUUGCGAAGGCAGCAUACCGGUGCACAACUGACGCUCAGGCACGAAAGCGUGGGUAUCGAACAGGAUUAGAUACCCGAGUAGUC